rnacentral:rRNA from 1 species
UACGAAGGGGGCUAGCGUUGCUCGGAAUCACUGGGCGUAAAGGGUGCGUAGGUGGCCAGGUAAGUUUGGUGUGAAAGCUCGGAGCUUAACUCCGAAAAGUCAUUGAAUACUAUCUGGCUGGAGGGUCGGAGGGGAGACUGGAAUUCUCGGUGUAGCAGUGAAAUGCGUAGAUAUCGAGAGGAACACCAGUGGCGAAGGCGAGUCUCUGGACGACUCCUGACACUGAGGCACGAAAGCUAGGGGAGCAAACAGG